UAGGGAAUCUUCCGCAAUGGGCGAAAGCCUGACGGAGCAACGCCGCGUGAGUGAUGAAGGUCUUCGGAUCGUAAAACUCUGUUAUUAGGGAAGAACAAAUGUAUAAGUAACUAUGCACGUCUUGACGGUACCUAAUCAGAAAGCCACGGCUAACUACGUGCCAGCAGCCGCGGUAAUACGUAGGUGGCAAGCGUUAUCCGGAAUUAUUGGGCGUAAAGCGCGCGUAAGCGGUUUUUUAAGUCUGAUGUGAAAGCCCACGGCUCAACCGUGGAGGGUCAUUCGAACCUGGAAAACUGGGGUGCAGAAGGGGAAAGUGGAUUUCCAUGGGUAGCGGUGAAAUGCGCAGAGAUAUGGAGAAACACCAGUGGGGAUGGCGACUUUCUGAUAUGUAACUGACGCUGAUGUGAGAAAGCGUGGGGAUCAAACAGG
rnacentral:rRNA from 1 species